CAUUGUUCAGUCUGCAUCACGUAAAGUAGGAAUACACAGCACCAAGUUUUAUCCACAAAUUAAUUUAUUUCCUAGAUUUCAAACAUCCAUCAAAACAACCUGUUAUUCUACGAGGAGAUGUUUAUUAAUUACAGGAAUCUUUCCACAAGACCGAUGAGUGGCUAUUUACAUAAUUUUCGAGUGACGCAUUAACACUUCAUUAGUUAGAAUUUCCAACACAAACCACAGUUCAUGGAAAAUUGACCCACCCAGGGAGGUACUUGUACCAUGUAAGUGUCCUGGGAUAACAGCACUAAAACUAAAAGCACCAGGUA